CCCUUAGAUGUUCUGGGCCGCACACGCACUACACUGAAGGAGGCAGCGUGUACUCCUGGAUCGAAAGAUUUGGGUAACCCGCGAAUCUCCUUCGUGCUAGGGAUUGAGGUUUGCAAUUAUCCUUCAUGAACGAGGAAUUCCCAGUAAGUGCAAGUCAUAAGCUUGCGCUGACUACGUCCCUGCCCUUUGUACACACCGCCCGUCGCUACUACCGAUUGAAUGAUUUAGUGAGGACUUCGGACUGGGACCGAUGCGGCUUUCGGGCUGCGUCGGUAUUCUGGAAAGAUGUCCAAACUGUAUCAUUUAGAGGAAGUAAAAGUCGUANCA
rnacentral:rRNA from 1 species